CUCCGCGAUCAGCAUUUGGCUUUUUCCAUUUGAGGCAGAUUACUGUAACUCUAUUGUACAACAACUUCCUGCCUCUUUUGGCUCUGGUUCUAAAAAACUGCAAAAGGCAGACCUCGUGGCUUUAACUUUUUUCCCCCCUCGGCCUUGAACCAGGAGCUCUAUAAGGGAAGAAAAGGAGGAAGGAGAUAUGUAAAGUGUAUUUAUUACUGAGGAGCUAUUUUUUUUCUCUCUCUUUUUUUUAAAAAGAAUUUCAUUUCUGCUUUAUAAACUGCUGAGCAUUAAAGAGGGGACUUCAUGCCUAGCAAGAGACAAUGAGAAAGAGAGAAAGAGGGAGACAGAGAGGAAAAACAUAAGGACCUUUGAGGGCACUCCCCAUCGAGGAGGGAACAAAGGCCAUGACCCCUGGGUCAAAAGCGUUACAUGGGAGGCCAAGCGAGCUCAUUGAAUGUUCCACUGUUGUUUGCUUUAAGAAGGAUUCUGAAAGGAGAGGAGGAAGAGAGACACAGAGAGAAAAGAGCAAAGGAGAGCUUCUCCUGGGAACAAGCUGGAAAUUAUGGACCAUUCGAUAUCAGACCUCAGAGUGGACAACCUAUCCUAAGAGGGACGCGCCCUAACUGUAACUAACAACUACUUCUGGCAGCCCUUCAACAACCAGACAUAUUGUCCUGGAUCAGGGCCGUUUUCAAAAAGGCAGCAAUGAGCAAGGGCAGCCUAGGCAAGAAAUCAACAUCGACCUUCAGCCUCAUUAAUGUCAAUUAAUACUUUUUUCCUCUAAUAAAAAUACAGAAUUUUAAACUAUGAUCCCAAUGAGACGUUAAUUAUCAAAGGUAGCAUGUUAAGGUGAUACAUGCUAUAAAAAAGAAGGAUUUCCGCACUAAAGUGGGGCAGCAUUAAGGGGUCAGCACAGCACUUUAAAAAAAUAAAUAAAUCAAAUGUAUAAUGCGUGAGUUAAUUAUUUCACCUACUGUUUUAGUACUGAUAUAUUAAAAGCUCAAAAUCCAACACGAAUGCAAUGUUGCAUUACUUCGUACUGUGUAAGUCUGAAGAUCUGCAUUUAAAGUGUGAAUGCAACAAAACUGCCUCAUGGUGGAAACGAGCACAAGCAGGGUUUGAAUGAGUGUAACAACGUAAAAAUAUUCCAUUAAAAAAUUUUUUUGACUGAG